GCUUACGGCCAUACCACGUUGAAAGCACGCCAUCCCGUCCGAUCUGGCAAGUUAAGCAACGUUGGGCCUGGAUAGUAGUUGAAUCGGAGACGGCUUGGGAAUCCCAGGUGUCGUAAGCU
rnacentral:rRNA from 1 species